rnacentral:rRNA from 1 species
CGUCAAAGCUUAACUACCAUAACCCCUUAAUUACCAAAUUAUAUCAAACCCCUCAUCCCUACCGAACCAUUUUAUACUAUUAUAAAAAUGAUUAUGCUAGAACUAGUAACAAGAACUAGCCGUUCUCCACAAUGCAAGCUUAAACCAAAAUGGACACCCCAUUGGUAAUUAACGUAAAUGUAAAACCAUAGCAACAUCCACCAGAAAACCCUAUGACCUACCCCACGUUACCCUAACACCAGAGCAUUACAGGAAAGAUUAAAAGAAAGAGAAGGAACUCGGCAAACCUUGGCCCCGCCUGUUUACCAAAAACAUCGCCUCUUGAUUAUAUAUAAGAGGUCCAGCCUGCCCAGUGAAAUUUUUAACGGCCGCGGUAUACUGACCGUGCGAAGGUAGCAUAAUCACUUGUUCUUUAAAUAGGGACUCGUAUCAACGGCACCACGAGGGCUAUACUGUCUCCACUCUCCAAUCAGUGAAACUGAUCUCCCCGUGAAGAAGCGGGGAUCUAAUUAUAAGACGAGAAGACCCCAUGGAGCUUUAAAUUCAACAUGCACCUAUUUAAUUAAUCACCAACUUAGCUUCAAAAAGCUGCAUGUUAAUUUUAGGCUGGGAGGGCCGCGGAGUAAAAUUAAACCUCCACAACAAAUGGGUUAAUACCCUUAUCUUCGAUUGACAAAUCUAAGAAUCACCAAAAUGAUGUUAAAUGAUCCGAUAACUCGAUUAAUGGACCAAGUUACCCUGGGGAUAACAGCGCAAUCCUCUUCAAGAGCCCAUAUCGACAAGCGGGUUUACGACCUCGAUGUUGGAUCAGGGUAUCCUAGUGGUGCAACCGCUACUAAUGGUUCGUUUGUUCA